CUCGUAGGGGGUGAGAAGGGCCCUGACUCCAUCCCAAACAUUGUACUACUAUCGGCCCUACCAGGCAAUAUCUACCUACACAAGCUCGAUCAGGAGAUAGGGAGGAUCCGGCAAAAGCACGAAUUUCCUCUUGUAGUGAAAAUAAGAUCGGUUCUAUUAAGAAUAGGUCGUUGUAUUGAUGACCAAGAAAAGUAUGGAAAAGAAGCAAGCUUCAACGCUCCCCAAGACAAUAGAGCCCUCAUAAUGGGAAGGGUAAAGAGCAUCCAACGCAAAGCGACCUUUCAUUCCCUUGUUUCGUCGUGGCACACCCCCCGACACACAAACACCCCCAGGAAAAGGGGAGACCAGAAAAUGCCUUUCGUUUUCCCCCCUUCAGCGGCCCUAGCCGCCUUCCUUAACAAACCCUCGAGCCUCCUUUGCGCCGCCUUCCUCAUAGAAGCUGCUGGGUUGACCCCGAAGGCCGAAUUCAAUGGUAGAGAAGGCUUUAAUAAGAAUUUGGCCAUGAGAGACCUUCUUAAGUAUUGCAAAAGAAGGGGCCUGCUGAUAGAGCUGGGCGGGGAGGCGAUACUAGUUAUCAGGUCAGAGAGAGGCCUGGCCCGUAAGCUGGCCCCCUUUAAAAGCCAUUCCUUAUUAAUAAGGAUUUGUUACGCGUGAUAUGCCGACGACUUACUACUGGGAAUCGUGGGUGCCGUAUUUCUUCUCAUAGAAAUACAAAAACGUAUCACCCACUUCCUACAAUCCGGUCUGAACCUUUGGGUAGGCUCCGCAGGAUCAACAACCAUAGCUGCACGGAGUACGGUAGAAUUCCCCGGUACGGUCAUUCGGGAAGUCCCCCCGAGGACGACUCCCAUACAACUCUUGCAAGAUCUGGAGAAGCGUCUACGGGUAAAGCACCGUAUCCAUAUAACUGCCUGCCACCUACGCUCUGCCAUCCAUUACAAGUUUAGGGACCUAGGUUAUAGUAUCCCUAUCAAAGAGCUGACGAAGGGGAUGAGCGGAAGAGGUCGUCUACUGGACGCGGUUCAACUAGCGCAGACUCUUGGAAAAGAUAGACUAAAAAGUCCCCAAGUUAGCGUAUUAUCACUACAAAAAAAUACACUUCCGUGA
rnacentral:rRNA from 1 species